rnacentral:rRNA from 1 species
GGGAGAACCUGCGAGGGAUCAUUACUGAGUUUACGCUCUAUAACCCUUUGUGAACAUACCUAUAACUGUUGCUUCGGCGGGUAGGGUCUCCGCGACCCUCCCGGCCUCCCGCCUCCGGGCGGGUCGGCGCCCGCCGGAGGAUAACCAAACUCUGAUUUAACGACGUUUCUUCUGAGUGGUACAAGCAAAUAAUCAAAACUUUUAACAACGGAUCUCUUGGUUCUGGCAUCGAUGAAGAACGCAGCGAAAUGCGAUAAGUAAUGUGAAUUGCAGAAUUCAGUGAAUCAUCGAAUCUUUGAACGCACAUUGCGCCCGCCAGCAUUCUGGCGGGCAUGCCUGUUCGAGCGUCAUUUCAACCCUCAAGCUCUGCUUGGUGUUGGGGCCCUACAGCUGAUGUAGGCCCUCAAAGGUAGUGGCGGACCCUCCCGGAGCCUCCUUUGCGUAGUAACUUUACGUCUCGCACUGGGAUCCCGAGGGACUCUUCCCGUAAAACCCCCCAAUUUUCAAAGGUUGACCUCCGAUCA